rnacentral:misc_RNA from 1 species
GAUGAAGAACGUAGCGAAAUGCGAUACUUGGUGUGAAUUGCAGAAUCCCGCGAAUCAUCGAGUCUUUGAACGCAAGUUGCGCCCGAAGCCAUUUGGUCGAGGGCACGUCUGCCUGGGUGUCACGCAUCGUUGCCCCCAACCCCAUUGCUUCUCCAAGAGACGAGGGCGGUUUGUGGGGCGGACAUUGGCCUCCCGUGAGCUUUUGAUUGCGGCUGGCCUAAAAGGGAGUCCUCGGCGACGAGCGCCACGACAAUCGGUGGUUGACAAACCCUCGUGUCCCGUCGUGCGUGCCUUGUCGCUCAUCUCGUGCUCUGUGACCCUAUAGCGUCGCGCUUGCGACUCUUCCAAUGCGACCCCAGGUCAGGCGGGACUACCCGCUGAAUUUAAGCAUAUCAAUAAGCGGAGGA